GACGAACGCUGGCGGCGUGCCUAAUACAUGCAAGUAGAACGCACAGUUUAUACCGUAGCUUGCUCUACCAUAGACUGUUAGUUGCGAACGGGUGAGUAACGCGUAGGUAACCUGCCCGGUAGCGGGGGAUAACUAUUGGAAACGAUAGCUAAUACCGCAUAAUAUUGAUUAUUGCAUGAUAAUUGAUUGAAAGAUGCUAUUGCAUCACUACCAGAUGGACCUGCGUUGUAUUAGCUAGUAGGUGAGGUAACGGCUCACCUAGGCGACGAUACAUAGCCGACCUGAGAGGGUGAUCGGCCGCGCUGAGACUGAGACACGGCCCAGACUCCUACGGGAGGCAGCAGUAGGGAAUCUUCGGCAAUAGACGAAAGUGUGACCGAACAACGCCGCGUGCGUGAAGAAGGUUUUCGGAUCGUAGAGCGCUGUUGUAAGAGAAGAACGGGUGUGAGAGUGGAAAGGUCACACUGUGACGGUAUCUUACCAGAAAGGGACGGCUAACUACGUG
rnacentral:rRNA from 1 species